rnacentral:lncRNA from 1 species
CACCUCUCUUUGUGUGUCUUUCAUGAAUAAAUAAAUAAAAUAUUUUUAAAAUACAUGAAGACAAAGGAAAAGGAUCUGCUAAAUAGAGGUUUAAAAUGUUUUAAGCCAGUAAAAGGCAUUUUUAUAAUCUGUCUGAUAACUCUGGGCAAUUAAGAAAAGGAACAUCCUCAAAUGUAGCCCUCUAUAUUAUGUGGAAUGUGAUAGAAUGUCAACUUAUGAUCAAGACAGGUAAAAAUAAAAAUUUCAAAGCUAUGAAUGGAACUGUUAUAAAUAGUCUUGUAUCACUGCAAAAUGUCAAUAAAUGAAUGGCAGAGCUUAUCAAAAGAUUAAAACUUGAGCAGAUGUUACUUAAAACAUGUGUGGUGUUUAUCAUACUUCAAUGUUUGCUGAAAACUAAAGCUAAACAAAGAAAAAUUGCUCAUUUAUAGAUUGGUUUUUAUGUACCUUUACUUUUACUGGGACCAUUAACUGAUCAGAUAAUACAUAGCCCACACUUCUGGACAGUUAUAACAAAGGGUUUAUUAUCAUUUGCCCAUGAAAUAAAUGCACCAUCCCAUACUUGAAAGGCUUUAACAAGCCUUAAGUGUUUUUCAGACUGUACCAAGGCAUCACCACUGCCUAGUUAUAUUAUGCACCCAUUUCUAGUAAAGCACUAACACCUCCCUCAACAUCAGUUCCGCACUGUUUCCGGUUUAUUAUACACUUCCAAAACAGCAAACAUUUGCAAAUACUGUGGUCCGUUCAUAGUACUGCUUAGUCAUCAUCUUCCUCCUCUUCUUCCUCUUCCUCAAAGAUAUCUUCAAAACCUUCGCUGUCCUCCUGGUCUUCAUCCCCCUCUAUUGCUGUAUCCCACUGUGGGUGAUUUUCUGGUACAGGCUUAGCCUCAUGAACUUCCAACUUCAAGGGUUUAAUUUGAUCCAAAUCCAUAUAGGAGUCUGAUCUCAGAAACACUGUAUAUUGAUAAUUCCCAGGCUUGCCUGGUGCAGGAAACUUCAGUUCUACCUCAGGAAAGUAAAGACUAUAAACAGGAUGUGUUAUCUUUGAUUUGGUUUCCAGUAGAGCUCUCUCCUUCUGCUGUAUACUUUGUUGUAAUUCUUGCCACUCUACUUCAUCAUCUUUGUUUUGUUUUUCAUCUUGCUCUCUAUCAGAGUCUCUGUCACUACCAUCAUCUUUUUCACUUUGGGAUUCUCUAUUGGUUUCUUCUUCAGAAUCACUGAAAAUGGCUCAAAAUCUUUGAAAUUCAGCAAAAGCUAUUCUACAAGGGAAAUUUAUAGCACCA